GGCCUUGGCCCACAUCCCCUCCCCUGCGAGCCCUGGCCCUGCUCCUGGCCCUGCUCCUGGCCCUGCC
rnacentral:miRNA from 1 species